rnacentral:pre_miRNA from 1 species
ACUAAUUGCAGCCAUGAUUUUCCGCGCUCAACUUUGAUCGUCCGUCUUAUUUAAUUUUUUUUAUAAUUAGUAUUUUUGUUGUUAUGAGAUGAUAAAAUAUGAAUAGUACUUUACUCAUGACUUAUUUUUUUAAUUUUUUUCAAAAGAAUUUUAAAUAAAACGAAUGGUUAAAGUUGGACACGGAAAACUAUGGUUGUAUUUAUU